UGGGAUAGCUCAGUUGAUAGAGCAUGAGGCUCUUAACCUCAGGGUUGCAGGUUUGAGCCCUACAUUGGAUGAAAG